rnacentral:rRNA from 1 species
CAGUAGUCACGAGUUUGAUCAUGGCUCAGACAACGCUGGCGGCAUGCCUAACACAUGCAAGUCGAACGAGACCUUCGGGUCUAGUGGCGCACGGGUGCGUAACGCGUGGGAACCUGCCUUUAGGUUCGGAAUAACUCAGAGAAAUUUGAGCUAAUACCGGAUAAUGUCUUCGGACCAAAGAUUUAUCGCCUUUAGAUGGGCCCGCGUUGGAUUAGCUAGUUGGUGGGGUAAAGGCCUACCAAGGCAUCGAUCAGUAGCUGGUCUGAGAGGACGACCAGCCACACUGGAACUGAGACACGGUCCAGACUCCUACGGGAGGCAGCAGUGGGGAAUUUUGGACAAUGGGGGCAACCCUGAUCCAGCAAUGCCGCGUGAGUGAAGAAGGCCUUCGGGUUGUAAAGCUCUUUUGUCAGGGAAGAAACGGUGAGGGCUAAUAUCCUUUGCUAAUGACGGUACCUGAAGAAUAAGCACCGGCUAACUACGUG